rnacentral:rRNA from 1 species
UGCCUACGGGACGCAGCAGUAGGGAAUCUUCCACAAUGGACGAAAGUCUGAUGGAGCAACGACGCGUGAGUGAAGAAGGGUUUCGGCUCGUAAAGCUCUGUUGGUAGUGAAGAAAGAUAGAGGGAGUAACUGGCCUUUAUUUGACGGUAAUUACUUAGAAAGUCACGGCUAACUACGUGCCAGCAGCCGCGGUAAUACGUAGGUGGCAAGCCUUGUCCGGCUUUAUUGGGCGUAAAACG